rnacentral:rRNA from 1 species
GAUGAACGCUGGCGGCGUGCCUAAUACAUGCAAGUCGAGCGAACGGACGAGAAGCUUGCUUCUCUGAUGUUAGCGGCGGACGGGUGAGUAACACGUGGAUAACCUACCUAUAAGACUGGGAUAACUUCGGGAAACCGGAGCUAAUACCGGAUAAUAUUUUGAACCGCAUGGUUCAAAAGUGAAAGACGGUCUUGCUGUCACUUAUAGAUGGAUCCGCGCUGCAUUAGCUAGUUGGUAAGGUAACGGCUUACCAAGGCAACGAUGCAUAGCCGACCUGAGAGGGUGAUCGGCCACACUGGAACUGAGACACGGUCCAGACUCCUACGGGAGGCAGCAGUAGGGAAUCUUCCGCAAUGGGCGAAAGCCUGACGGAGCAACGCCGCGUGAGUGAUGAAGGUCUUCGGAUCGUAAAACUCUGUUAUUAGGGAAGAACAUAUGUGUAAGUAACUGUGCACAUCUCGACGGUACCUAAUCAGAAAGCCACGGCUAACUACGUG